GAUGAACGCUAGCGGCAGGCUUAAUACAUGCAAGUCGAGGGGCAGCACGAAUAGCAAUAUUUGGUGGCGACCGGCGCACGGGUGCGUAACACGUAUACAACCUACCUAUAACAGGGGGAAUAGCCUUUCGAAAGAGAGAUUAAUACCCCGUAAUAAAUUGAGUGGCAUCACUUGAUUUUGAAAGCUCCGGCGGUUAUAGAUGGGUAUGCGUCUGAUUAGCUAGUUGGUGAGGUAAUGGCUCACCAAGGCGACGAUCAGUAGGGGAUCUGAGAGGACUAACCCCCANACUGGUACUGAGACACGGACCAGACUCCUACGGGAGCAGCAGUAAGGAAUAUGGUCAAUGGAGGCAACUCUGAACCAGCCAUGCCGCGUGCAGGAUGACGGCCCUAUGGGUUGUAAACUGCUUUUGUACCAGAGAAACCCCAGUACGUGUACUGGGUUGAUAGUAUGGUAAGAAUAAGCAUCGGCUAACUUCGUGCCAGCAGCCG
rnacentral:rRNA from 1 species